AUUGAACGCUGGCGGCAGGCCUAACACAUGCAAGUCGAACGGUAACAGGAAGAAGCUUGCUUCUUUGCUGACGAGUGGCGGACGGGUGAGUAAUGUCUGGGAAACUGCCUGAUGGGGGGGGAUAACUACUGGAAACGGUAGCUAAUACCGCAUAACGUCGCAAGACCAAAGAGGGGGACCUUCGGGCCUCUUGCCAUCGGAUGUGCCCAGAUGGGAUUAGCUAGUAGGUGGGGUAACGGCUCACCUAGGCGACGAUCCCUAGCUGGUCUGAGAGGAUGACCAGCCACACUGGAACUGAGACACGGUCCAGACUCCUACGGGAGGCAGCAGUGGGGAAUAUUGCACAAUGGGCGCAAGCCUGAUGCAGCCAUGCCGCGUGUAUGAAGAAGGCCUUCGGGUUGUAAAGUACUUUCAGCGGGGAGGAAGGGAGUAAAGUUAAUACCUUUACUCAUUGACGUUACCCGCAGAAGAAGCACCGGCUAACUCCGUG
rnacentral:rRNA from 1 species